GGUUGAGAUGACCCCCUUAAAUAUAUAUCAAUCCCCUUCCAGCACCACUGUUACAUAUCUGUUCCGUUUGGGAAGUUCAACCUAAUGAAGUAAUGAUGGUUGGGGAUAACCUUAAAGAUGAUGUGAGUUCUGCUCUAUUUCUCUCUCCAUCAUUUGCACCAUAUUUGUUAAGAACAUUUCUGAUUCAUUUUGAGGUUGCUUGUGGGAAACGAGCGGGAGCAUUUACAUGCUUGCUUGACGAAACAGGGAGGUAUGAUUCUCCCGAAUACACAGAUGUGGAAUUUCAGCCAGAUUACAACGUGUCUUAUCUUGCCCAUGUUCAUUCACUACUGGAAGCAAAUUUUGACCUGACACCAUGAUCCACAAUUUCCUUGACAAUAAAAAUUUGCAUUGUUAAAUUGAGUAGCAUUGAGAUUCUCAUACCAUUUAUUAUUUGGUGGAUACACCUAUUUUUGAUCCUGUGAAGAAUUCAUAGGAGAAGCUUUGUCAAGUACGGAGAUAGGAAAUUACCAAGGAAAUAUUGUGUAUUUGAAAGACAGAGAUCUUUCUUUAGUUUAGCAUCUUAUGGUAGUGUUGAUAUGCUGUAGAGUCAUCGAAUAUAUAGGUUUCCUUGCCAAAGCACUCUUGGAUAGAUUUCCUGCACAUCUUUGUUUGUUGUUAUCAUUGUAUUAUGAGGCCAGCUGUUAGUGCUUUGUUUGUGGGAUGUAAGAUUGUUGUUGUAUAUCUAUAUGUAAUACUUUUGACCCAUUUUAUAAUGCGAUUUCUUUCUCCCUUUGGUGCAAUGCAAUGCAUAUUUUAAAAUUACAAUGAA